GACUGGACCCAAGGUAGUGAGUUACCUCGAUUGAUGGCUCACAGUCAGUUACAGAUCAAACUCUUUGUUCUACCCUUUUCUCCCUCCUUACUACUGCACUUGACUAGUCUUUU
ensembl:Y_RNA Y_RNA Y RNA